UACGUAGGGUCCGAGCGUUGUCCGGAAUUACUGGGCGUAAAGAGCUCGUAGGUGGUUUGUCGCGUUGUUCGUGAAAACUCACAGCUCAACUGUGGGCGUGCGGGCGAUACGGGCAGACUAGAGUACUGCAGGGGAGACUGGAAUUCCUGGUGUAGCGGUGGAAUGCGCAGAUAUCAGGAGGAACACCGGUGGCGAAGGCGGGUCUCUGGGCAGUAACUGACGCUGAGGAGCGAAAGCGUGGGGGAGCGAACAGG
rnacentral:rRNA from 1 species